UACGUAGGGCGCAAGCGUUGUCCGGAAUUAUUGGGCGUAAAGAGCUCGUAGGCGGCUUGUCACGUCUGCUGUGAAAUCCCGGGGCUCAACCCCGGGCGUGCAGUGGAUACGGGCUGGCUAGAGGCAGGCAGGGGAGAACGGAAUUCCCGGUGUAGCGGUGAAAUGCGCAGAUAUCAGGAGGAACACCGGUGGCGAAGGCGGGUCUCUGGGCCGAUAUUGACGCUGAGGAGCGAAAGCGUGGGGAGCGAACAGG
rnacentral:rRNA from 1 species